CCUACGGGUGGCAGCAGUGAGGAAUAUUGGUCAAUGGCCGAGAGGCUGAACCAGCCAAGUCGCGUGAGGGAAGACGGCCCUACGGGUUGUAAACCUCUUUUGUCGGGGAGCAAAGAGAGUCACGUGUGACUCAUUGAGAGUACCCGAAGAAAAAGCAUCGGCUAACUCCGUGCCAGCAGCCGCAGUAAUACGGAGGAUGCGAGCGGUAUCCGGAUUUAGUGGGUUUAAAGGGUGCGCAGGCGGAGGUGCAAGUCAGCGGUCAAAUUGCGGGGCUCAACCCCGUACUGCCGUUGAAACUGCAUCCCGUGAGUGCGAGAGAAGUAAGCGGAAUGCGUGGUGUAGCGGUGAAAUGCAUAGAUAUCACGCAGAACUCCGAUUGCGAAGGCAGCAUACCGGCGCGCAACUGACGCUCAUGCACGAAAGCGUGGGUAUCGAACAGGAUUAGAUACCCGUGUAGUC
rnacentral:rRNA from 1 species